GGGCUGCUAGCGCCGCCGUCCGACUCUAGAGGGGAUCCAGAUCUAGAGUUUGAUCCUGGCUCAGGACGAACGCUGGCGGCGUGCUUAACACAUGCAAGUCGAACGGAAAGGCCCUGCUUUUGUGGGGUGCUCGAGUGGCGAACGGGUGAGUAACACGUGGGUAACCUGCCCUUGACUUUGGGAUAACUUCAGGAAACUGGGGCUAAUACCGGAUAGGAGCUCCUACUGCAUGAUGGGGGUUGGAAAGUUUCGGCGGUUGGGGAUGGACUCCCGGCUUAUCGGCUUGUUGGUGGGGUAGUGGCUUACCAAGGCUUUGAAGGGUAGCCGGCCUGAAAGGGUGACCGGCCACAUUGGGACUGAGAUACGGCCCACACUCCUACGGGAGGCAGCAGGGGGGAAUAUUGCACAAUGGGCGGAAGCCUGAUGCAGCAACGCCGCGUGCGGGAUGACGGCCUUCGGGUUGUAAACCGCUUUCGCCUGUGACGAAGCGUGAGUGACGGUAAUGGGUAAAGAAGCACCGGCUAACUACGUGCCAGCAGCCGCGGUGAUACGUAGGGUGCGAGCGUUGUCCGGAUUUAUUGGGCGUAAAGGGCUCGUAGGUGGUUGAUCGCGUCGGAAGUGUAAUAGGGGGGGCUUAACCCUGAGCGUGCUUUCGAUAAAGCUUGGAAUU
rnacentral:rRNA from 1 species